GCCUACGGGGGGCAGCAGUAGGGAAUCUUCCACAAUGGGCGAAAGCCUGAUGGAGCAACGCCGCGUGGGUGAAGAAGGUCUUCGGAUCGUAAAACCCUGUUGUUAGAGAAGAAAGUGCGUGAGAGUAACUGUUCACGUUUCGACGGUAUCUAACCAGAAAGCCACGGCUAACUACGUGCCAGCAGCCGCGGUAAUACGUAGGUGGCAAGCGCUAUCCGGAUUUAUUGGGCGUAAAGGGAACGCAGGCGGUCUUUUAAGUCUGAUGUGAAAGCCUUCGGCUUAACCGGAGUGGUGUAUUGGAAACU
rnacentral:rRNA from 1 species